rnacentral:lncRNA from 1 species
AGUGUAAUCUCCUUUGCUCGAUCUUGGGCGUCUCUGUUCGACUGUUGAAACCUUCUGUUGUUCAUUUCCAUCCAGAUGUUGUAGACUACUGCUGCAAACACCACACCUAGUAUGGCUUUUCUGGGAUUCCUGCUGUUCACAUUAGCAGUUAACCAUUGCAUUUCUGACUCCCAUUUGCCUGUCGUUCAUUGAUAAUUCAACCAUUGUAAC